AGAACCGACUUUGAACGUGGACACACCACAGCGACGGACGGAUCUCUCUGUCUUCGUUUUCUUGGAGGAGGAGUUGUUCAAACCUUAAUCUCGACGAACCCAAAUUGUAGUUGGUGAGAAACAAAAGGCGAAAAUGGGCGAAGAAAACGGGGCAGCUUCAAUCAAUCAGGGAAUGGAUCGUUGAGCACAAGCUCCGCACUGUUGAUUGCACGCGCAAGCACUAACUCUUGCUGCACUAUCCGGGGCUGCCAUUGUCGAAUACUAUGAUCACAAAUCCGGAGCCAAAGCAGAGCGUGUGGCCAAGUUUUUGGACAUCAAGGAAAACCAACACAGGGAUUGAAGUUUUCAUCUCUAGUUUCCGGCUGAUGUUUUGAAGAAAAGCACAAGCUCGCCCUCAGUUUUUUGCUACCAAGCUUUCGAAUCGUUGAGGGUUCUUCAGGUUUGAAUGUUUGAUGUUGAAUAGCUCCAGAUGGAGAGCAUUUUCCCAGUAUCUCAGUUGCAAUUGUAAUUGUGAUCAUUGUGUAUGCAAACUCCAAAUCUUUUUGUAUGAAAUUCUUCCCUUUACAACGCAA